UAACAACGAUUUUAGGUUAUAGUCUGCAUUAUCAUUAGGAAAUAAUAGUUUCCGAAUAUAUGUAUGGUAGAAACGAUUUUUAUAUAUUAAAGAUGUUUGUUAUUAUGCUUAGAUGGCGUAAAUUGGUUCAGUUAUUACAGAAUUUAUCGAAUGCAAGAAAUCAAUUUUAAUAUAGUAAAAAAGAACUCUAAUCACUUACCAUAAAAAAAGAAAAAAGAAUUCUCAUCACGAUUUUUUAAAAUUAUAAUCUGAAUUGAAAACCAAAUUUGAACCAAUCCAAAUCUGAAUAUAAACCAAUCAGUUAUCAAUAAU
rnacentral:lncRNA from 1 species